UUUCUUCGGAAUGACGAUUUAGUGACUGAGUGGCGGACGGGUGAGUAACGCGUGGGUAACCUGCCUUAUACAGGGGGAUAACAGUUAGAAAUGACUGCUAAUACCGCAUAAGCGCACAGGAUUGCAUGAUCUGGUGUGAAAAACUCCGGUGGUAUGAGAUGGACCCGCGUCUGAUUAGUUAGUUGGUGGGGUAACGGCCUACCAAGGCGACGAUCCAUAGCCGACCUGAGAGGGUGACCGGCCACAUUGGGACUGAGAUACGGCCCAGACUCC
rnacentral:rRNA from 1 species